rnacentral:rRNA from 1 species
GAUGAACGCUGGCGGCGUGCCUAAUACAUGCAAGUCGAGCGAACAGAUGAGGAGCUUGCUCCUCUGACGUUAGCGGCGGACGGGUGAGUAACACGUGGAUAACCUACCUAUAAGGCUGGGAUAACUUCGGGAAACCGGAGCUAAUACCGGAUAAUAUAUUUAACCGCAUGGUUCAAUAGUGAAAGACGGUUUUGCUGUCACUUAUAGAUGGAUCCGCGCCGCAUUAGCUAGUUGGUAAGGUAACGGCUUACCAAGGCAACGAUGCGUAGCCGACCUGAGAGGGGGAUCGGCCACCCUGGAACGGGAACGCGGUCCAGACUCCUACGGGAGGCAGCAGAAGGGAAUCGUCCGCAAGGGGCGAAAGCCUGACGGAGCAACGCCGCGUGAGUGAUGAAGGUCUUCGGAUCGUAAAACUCUGUUAUUAGGGAAGAACAAAUGUGUAAGUAACUAUGCACGUCUUGACGGUACCUAAUCAGAAAGCCACGGCUAACUACGUG